UGUAACUUGUGUCGGAGGCGCAUGUCUUGCCGCCGUAUUAUUAUUGUUAAAAUUAAUAUUGUUCUAGUAUAAAGUAAAUGUGUAAUACUAAAAGUGCCUAGCAGCAGAUUUAUUGUGCGACGUGUAUGUGAAAACGUCAAAGGAAUUGUUUUCAUUAAGAGAAGUGCCAGUCAAAACGGCAUCCAUGUUAAAUCCUUCAUUGCAGUGUGACCACCAACUGUUUGGCCUGAAUAUCUAACCACCCACUGGCAUAGAGCAGAACUCAAGAUUUAGUUUAUUAAUAGAAGUCUGCUCUGUCCUCACUAUUUAGAAGAUUAGACUAAGAUUCUAGAUCCUAUGAUACAAAACAUCCAUCAUCAACAGACAUGAUGAUACCUUGACCUUGAUCAGUUAUAAAGGAUUCAGUCACAUUAUUUGGAAAGCAAGUCUUGGGUUUCUUGGUGCAUCAGUUUAGGCAAAUUCUCAAGCUUUCCAUGAAUGCCUCAGUCUUAUUCUUCAGGAAUGAUCAAGAACAUCACACUAUCUCAGAAACAGCACAAAAUGUAAAUGCUAUAUACUACAGUUUACAAACAUAUGUACCCACAUGAUUUAUUGUGUUUAUUUAUUUAUUUAAUAUAGCAAGAUUAGGCCAUCUUGCCCUGUCUUACAUCCAACCACUUAUUCUACAUGACAUUCAUAAUGUAAGCAUGUCAUAAGUUACAUCUAACAUAGAAUACAACUUUUAGAAAUUACUACAGUGCCAAAGAAAAAACACAGUUUAAUUCAUUUGAAGUAUACCAAUGAAGACAAAUUAAAGGAAGGCAAAUGUAAAUUAUGUGUGCUAGCAAGAAUGGACAUGAGAGAAAGUGUUGGAAGAGGGAGUGAAAAAGAAAUGUGAUAAAAAAAUUAAUGAAGAUAGGGGGAAAAGAAAAGGACAUAGCUGAGGAGUGGAAAGAGGAAAUGGUACAAGAUGAAAGUAUUUGCUUUAGUGUUUGACAGGGGGAAACUGGCCAGAAAUGUUAACUUUUAGGACAUAUUACGUGUGUGACAGGAAGAAGUGCUGUAGCAUCUUCUUAUGAGCAACAAGGCAUAGAGUGCAGGGUAACUCAUUCCAGAGGCAUCUGGCAGCAACAGAGGAGGAGUUUGCAAAUGUUUUUGUUUUACAUAUGAGCACAGCUAAGACACUACAUAAGUGAGACCUUCGGUUUUGAUCAUGAUGAGACAUCAAGUACACAAUCUCUGAUGUGAGGUACUGAUGUAAAUGAGUAACUGGGGUACUGAGUAGACAUAGUGUAUAGUAAGAAGUCUGGCCAUAGCCAAACUAACCAGGCUUAUGGAGCACUUGUAAUGGUACAGAGUAGUGUUGAAUCUGAUCUCUGAAGUUUAAUUAAUGACCCAACACAAAGACUGGAAUUAUGUAAACUUUUGUACUAAAUGAAAACUGUGGUCAUCUUCCAAUUUCAAUUUAUUAUUAAUCUGAAAAUCUAAUUAUAACAAAUACUAUUCCGUCAGAUGUCAAAAUUAUUAUUCUGUUAUCUAAAACUGAUUUGGUAUGUUCUGGAAAAUAUUGGGAAACUGAAAAUUAACUUUAAAAUGUUUAAAAAAUUUCUACCAAACGUUUGGCUGAACAAAAUUGUCAGUCUUGCAUUAAAGAAUCAGGAAGAAUGUUAGCAGCAGAAAGAACUAUGUGAUGAAAAUGUACAUUAACUUUUUUGUAUUAAGUAUUUACAAAAUUUAAAAAAAUGUACAUUAACUUUUUUGUAUUAGGUAUUUACAAAAUGCAUUUCAUUAAUUUUUGAUUUAAAAUAUGUAUUUUAACUAGAUUCUUCUUACAUGAAAUUUGUAAUUAUGUGUAUUUUACAUUUACAAACCAUGUAUCCAUCUGUCAAAAAUUUACAAUUAUUAACUGUAAUUCCAAUUAUGCACUCUUCUAAACAAUAUUGUGUGUUACUGUUAUUGUGUACAUUAUUUUACACCAUCCAAGUGGUAGUGUCAGGCAGUAGUUGUUGCUGGGUUGUGAAGAAGUGACAAAUCAGGAGUGAAUUGUAAUGAAAUCCUAUGUUUUGUAGACAUCAGCACACAAUGUAUAAAUUUAAUUUUGUGAAGUUAUGAAAAGUUUAUUGCAAUGUGAAAGUUGUUACAGUGUGGUGCUAAUGCAAUUAAUAAAUUAAAGAGGAAUCAAA